GACGAACGCUGGCGGCGUGCCUAAUACAUGCAAGUCGAGCGAAGUUUUUCUGGUGCUUGCACUAGAAAAACUUAGCGGCGAACGGGUGAGUAACACGUAAAGAACCUGCCUCAUAGACUGGGACAACUAUUGGAAACGAUAGCUAAUACCGGAUGACAGUAUUUCUCGCAUGAGAGAUAUUUAAAAGUUGGUUAUGCUAACACUAUGAGAUGGCUUUGCGGUGCAUUAGCUAGUUGGUGGGGUAAAGGCCCACCAAGGCGACGAUGCAUAGCCGACCUGAGAGGGUGAUCGGCCACACUGGGACUGAGACACGGCCCAGACUCCUACGGAAGGCAGCAGUAGGGAAUCUUCCGCAAUGGGCGAAAGCCUGACGGAGCAACGCCGCGUGAGUGAAGAAGGAUUUCGGUUCGUAAAGCUCUGUUGUUAGGGAAGAAUGGAUAUGUAGUAACUAUACAUGUAAGAGACGGUACCUAACCAGAAAGCCACGGCUAACUACGUG
rnacentral:rRNA from 1 species